AGAGUUUGAUCCUGGCUCAGAACUAACGCUGGCGGCGGGCCUUAUACAUGCAAGUCGAGCGGUUCAUUGACUUCGGUCAAUGGAUAGCGGCGAACGGGUGAGUAAUGGAUGGGAAUAUGCCCUCUGGAGAGGAAUAGCUUCAGGAAACUGAAGGUAAUACCUCAUGAUCUCUAAGGAGCAAAGUCAUGUGACGCCGGAGGAUUAGCCCAUUUACCAUUAGGUAGUUGGUGAGGUAAUGGCUCACCAAGCCUAUGUAUGGUUAGCCGGUUUGAGAGAAUGAUCGGCCACACUGGUAUUGAGAACGGACCAGGCUUCUACGGAAGGCUGCAGUAAGGAAUUUUGGACAAUGAAGGAAACUUUGAUCCAGCUACGCCGCGUGAAUCAUGAAGGUCUUAGGAUUGUAAAGUUCUUUCGGCAGGGAAGAUGAUGACUGUACCUGCAGAAGAAAUCCCGGCAAAUUCCGUGCCAGCAGCCGCGGUAAUACGGAAGGGGUAAGCGUUGUUCGGAAUCAUUGGGUGUAAAGGGUGCGCAGGUGGUCUGUUGUGUUAGAUGUGAAAUCCUCGGGCUCAACCCGAGAACUGCAUUUAAAACUGACGGACUAGAGCAAAGAAGAGGAAGAUGGAAUUCUCAGUGUAGAGGUGAAAUUCGUAGAUAUUGAGAGGAACACCAGAGGCGAAGCGAUCUUCUGGUCCUUUGCUGACACUCAUGCACGAAAGCUUGGGGAGUAAACAGGAUUAGAUACCCUGGUAAUCCAAGCCCUAAACGAUGGACGCUAGAUGUUAGAAAUUUUUUUAGUAUCGCAGCUAACGCGUUAAGCGUCCCACCUGGGGAGUACGGUCGCAAGAUUAAAACUCAAAGGAAUUGACGGGAGCCUGCACAAGCGGUGGGGUAUGUUGUUUAAUUCGAUGAUCCGCGAAGAACCUUACCAGCCCUUGACAUUGCGUGUGUCAGUCUAGUGAAAAUUAGGUUGACUAGCCACGUGACAGGUGCUGCAUGGCUGUCGUCAGUUCGUGUCUUGAGAUGUUGGGUUAAGUCCUAUAACGAACGCAACCCUUGUCUUUAGUUGCUAACAGGUUAUGCUGAGAACUCUAAAGAGACUGCCAAUGUUAAGUUGGAGGAAGGAAAGGAUGACGUCAAGUCAUCAUGGCCCUUAUGGGCUGGGCUACAAACGUACCACAAUGGGAGUUACAAAAAGCUGCAAGGAGGCGACUCUGAGCCAAUCUCUAAAAACUCUCUCAGUUCGGAUUGUUCUCUGCAACUCGGGAACAUGAAGUCGGAAUCGCUAGUAAUCGUGAAUCAGCGCGUCACGGUGAAUACGUUCUCAGGCUUUGUACACACCGCCCGUCAAACCACGGAAGAUGGUUUUGCUCGAAGCCGGUGAGCUAACUCGCAAGAGAGGCAUCCGUCUACAGUAAAACUGUUGACCAGGGUUAAGUCGUAACAAGGUAACC
rnacentral:rRNA from 1 species